rnacentral:rRNA from 1 species
GAUCAUGGCUCAGGAUGAACGCUGGCGGCGUGCCUAACACAUGCAAGUCGAGCGAAGCGAUCGAGAUGAAGUUUUCGGAUGGAUUCCUGAUCGACUGAGCGGGCGGACGGGGUGAAGGUAACGCGUGGGUAACCUGCCUCACACAGGGGGAUAACAGUUAGAAAUGACUGCUAAUACCGCAUAAGCGCACGGUACCGCAUGGUACAGUGUGAAAAACUCCGGUGGU